CCAGUAGUGAUAUAAAGAGCAGGCAGGUCGGCAGAUGCUUUCUCCAGGAUGGCCUUUUGGUCAUUUUAACGUCGAUAUUACCGAAGCCACCUCGCUCCUCUUUAUGAUCGGCCGCCUCCCCGUUGCCUCACUUGCGCCCCUUGUGUUCCUCUCUCUCUUGUCAUCUUAGGGUCGAUCUGUCGGCAAUGGCUUCCGUCACGGGAACGGCGAUCUCAAUCUCCGCGCGGCCGUCGCGGCGAUCGCUGCAGAUCUUCGAUUCGGGUGGAUCGACUGGAUUGAUCCAUCAGAGCGCCUUGAUUCAUAUAGUUUGCUACUUUGUUAUUAAGCUAGCCUCACCAGAAGAUCAUUCGAAGCAUACUGCUGUGAGUAAUGACGGUCAUUGUCAAAUAUAGACACUUUCGUCUCGUCUUUGAACUGAUCACCAACCCGUCAAAAAUUUCAAAGAUUUCCGUAGCCUGAAGAACCCCUAAAUAUUGAACUCAACAUCAGCAAAGACAACGUUUCAUUUUACGAGGGUACAACGGAAACCGGAAGCACAAAAUUAAUUUGUGGUUUUGGCAUUUUCUUUAGAACAUUCUAAAGAUCAUUGAUUGCUAGAAAAGGUUUCCUUUCCCAGAUCGGUUAUCAUCAUGGAAGAGGUUGUUUUCUUUUUUUUUUGUCGACUUAUUCAAGAAAUUGAAUGUGAUCUCUAUGUUCUUUAUUUAACCUGAUAAGAAUUUAUUGCCCCUUCUUAAUCUCACAAAGUAGGUUUUAUUUCUUUGAGUUUUUUAGUGAGAUCGAAUAUUGUUGUCAAUCAAGAUUUACUGGAAUCACAUCUUGCACUAUGUUGUUUAAUUAAAUGAUGUUGCUUCGUUAAAUGAUGUAUCUAUUAUAUCAUCAAACAUGCGAUUGGUCCUCGGUGGAAUUUUGUGGUG